rnacentral:rRNA from 1 species
CCAGACUCCUACGGGAGGCAGCAGUGGGGAAUAUUGGGCAAUGGGCGCAAGCCUGACCCAGCAACGCCGCGUGAAGGAAGAAGGCUUUCGGGUUGUAAACUUCUUUUCUUGGGGACGAAGAAAGUGACGGUACCUUAGGAAUAAGCCUCGGCUAACUACGUGCCAGCAGCCGCGGUAAUACGUAGGAGGCAAGCGUUAUCCGGAAUGACUGGGCGUAAAGGGUGCGUAGGUGGUUUGACAAGUUAGUAGCGCAACUCCGGAGCUCAACUUCGGAACUACUACUAAAACUGUUGGACUUGAGUGCAGGAGGGGCAAUCGGAAUUCCUAGUGUAGCGGUGGAAUGCGUAGAUAUUAGGAGGAACACCAGUGGCGAAGGCGGAUUGCUAGACUGUAACUGACGUUGAGGCCCGAAGGCGUGGGGAGCAAACAGGAUUAGAUACCCCGGUAGU